rnacentral:rRNA from 1 species
GAUGAACGCUGGCGGCGUGCCUAAUACAUGCAAGUCGAACGCACAGCGAAAGGUGCUUGCACCUUUCAAGUGAGUGGCGAACGGGUGAGUAACACGUGGAUAACCUACCUCAAGGUUGGGGAUAACAUUUGGAAACAGAUGCUAAUACCGAAUAAAACUUCGUAUCGCAUGAUACAAGGUUAAAAGGCGCUACGGCGUCACCUAGAGAUGGAUCCGCGUGCANAGUUAGUUGGUGGGGUAAGCCUACCAAGACAAUGAUGCAUAGCCGAGUUGAGAGACUGAUCGG